GAUAAGUGCGGUGGAUUUAGAAUCUAUUUAUGUGGUUUAGUUAAUUACACAUGUAGUA
rnacentral:tRNA from 1 species